rnacentral:rRNA from 1 species
CCUACGGGAGGCUGCAGUGGGGAAUAUUGGACAAUGGGGGCAACCCUGAUCCAGCCAUGCCGCGUGUGUGAAGAAGGCCCUCGGGUUGUAAAGCACUUUCAGUGAGGAAGAACGCCUGGUGGUUAAUACCCAUCAGGAAAGACAUCACUCACAGAAGAAGCACCGGCUAACUCCGUGCCAGCAGCCGCGGUAAUACGGAGGGUGCGAGCGUUAAUCGGAAUUACUGGGCGUAAAGCGCGCGUAGGUGGCUUGAUAAGCCGGUUGGGAAAGCCCCGGGCUCAACCUGGGAACGGCAUCCGGAACUGUCAAGCUAGAGUGCAGGAGAGGAAGGUAGAAUUCCCGGUGUAGCGGUGAAAUGCGUAGAGAUCGGGAGGAAUACCAGUGGCGAAGGCGGCCUUCUGGACUGACACUGACACUGAGGUGCGAAAGCGUGGGUAGCAAACAGGAUUAGAUACCCCAGUAGUC